CUCGGGGAGAGGCCCCGGGAAGCGCCGCUGCCGCGCUGGCUCCGCUCCCCGCGGGUUAUUUUUGAGUAGGAUGGAGCUUGCCAUGGCAUAGCUGAUGGCAGCGGUAAUAGGGCAAAGCUGGGCGGCACGUUUGGCCGAGGAACGUCGGGAGGUGACCAAAGCAGCCCCUGCGCUGUGCGCUCUGUCCCAGCCUCGGGGUUCAGAGGUUGUUCCCUUUGUUUUGGGGGACGCGCUCGGUUUUGUCACUGCCGUGUUUGUCCUGGCGCUUCCCUGAACGCCCACCCCAAACAUCGCCGCCGAUUCCCGUGCCGGAAUCAUUUCGGCUGGAAAAGACUUUUAAGGUCAAGCCCGACCAUAAGGUCACAGUGGAAGUCCACAACAUGACGAGGGAUUCUGCUGGGCUGGACCUAACCACAUGCGAAGACCGUGCAUCUUUUAUAUGCGUUUGUUUUUACAAACACAGAAGUAUCCCAGGAUAGAACUAUCAUUAGUUUGGGAUACGCGAUUUUUUUUGUUGUUGUCAUUGAUGAAAGUUUGCCUGCCAAGAUUUUCAUGUCCCCUCUGGUUUUGGGGAAGGUGUGUUGUUUACAGCUCCCUCUUUUCAUUAUCUUUUGUAUUUUCCUGAUAGAAUUUUUAAUAUAGCGGUCGUUGAAAGUAGUUGGCAAACGUACACGUGGUGAAGUUCUUGCGUUCCAUCUCCUUUAUGCUUAGCUUUACAUACUUUGGUUUUAUUUUUACUUACAGAAUCCAAACCUUGUGUAGGAAACCUUUGAAUGUUUUAUUUUGAGGGAAAUUUUUCUCAAGAAAAAUGCAAAUUCACCUGAAAUGUACCAGUCUGCCCAAAAAACCUAAAUAGUGUUACGUGUGAAAAUUGACAUAUCUUGUUAGGCCAGUUUGAGAUUGUGUAUGCACUCUUGAGGGGAAAAAAGUGUGUGUUAAAGAGGUAAUUCCUUGCCUUCAGUUAGGUUUUUGGUGUCAUGGGAAUGUUGUUGGCUAGGUUUAGGAAGAAAUAAAAUAUUCCUGUAAAAUAUGAGCUUAUGCUGACAUGAUUAUAAGUGUUUGUGUGAAAGUGGGAAAUUAAAUUAGCUGAGACAAAAAUUGAAAUUAAUCAAUACUCUUUUUGUUCACGUUCUGAUUAUUCCUGGCUGGCGUGGUGCUCCCUGUCCUGCUGCAUCUUUCUGCAAAUCCUGUACUUUUGGUAAAGGCAUUAUGACAUGGUUCAUAAAUGCUUUUGAAGCUAGGGUUUUGUAAAAAAAUGCUAUUUUCUAACCUGCACAACAUAGGUGUAGACUGGUGGUUUGUAGUUGCAUCCAUUUUGGGAAGAAAAUGGUUUUAUUUUCUAAGUUUUCCUAUUUACAAAAUACAGAUUACAACUAGCCUAGCAAAUACAGAAAUGAGACAAUUAAACUAUUUUCUAUUUUUUCCUUCAGAGUGCUUGGUCCUGUCUUCCUUUUCACUUGUGUGCUUUCCAGUUGGAUUAAUGUGCCUCAUGUAAACCAGAUAAAAGAGCAUAUGUCAGACCAUUUUCUGUACUGUAAUCACAUGUCUAAAUCACUAUUAGCCAGUCAAAUUGUUCAACUGCUUUAUCCCAUUAUAGGAAAUGUUCCACUGAAUGUUCAGUCUAAGUGCAGUCUAAGUAAUGAUAAAAUGAAGAGCCCUGCAUUAAACUGGCAAAGCCAGAAUGGAAUAAUUCCUCAGCUAUGGAUGCCUCCAUUAAACAGCAGUGCCAUAUUGGAGAGUGCUUUAGCACUUGUCAUGAGAGGACUUCCAAGAGCUGUCAGACAGAUCCAGUGUGCUGGCUGGCUGAAAUCUCAGCAUAUUGGUCACCAGGAAUGUCUUGCCCAGUCCCUUGGUUGCUGCUCUGAGCCAUCUACACACCAGACAUCUCUUCAUCCUGUGUGCAGUGACACUGGAGACUUUUCCCAGCUUAAAACAAUAAAAACAGUUCCAUUUUC